rnacentral:rRNA from 1 species
AUACGUAGGUGGCGAGCGUUGUCCGGAUUUACUGGGCGUAAAGGGAGCGUAGGCGGAUUCUUAAGUGGGAUGUGAAAUACCCGGGCUUAACCUGGGUGCUGCAUUCCAAACUGGGAAUCUAGAGUGCAGGAGGGGAGAGUGGAAUUCCUAGUGUAGCGGUGAAAUGCGUAGAGAUUAGGAAGAACACCAGUGGCGAAGGCGACUCUCUGGACUGUAACUGACGCUGAGGCUCGAAAGCGUGGGGAGC